AUUUACUUUGAAUUAAAAACAGCCAAGUUAGUCGCGUUUCACCCAGUAUUUUCACUCCAAAACGCAAGCCGCGCGGUUGUGUCUGCUCUCGGUGCAGCAUCUAGUGGCAGAAAAUUAAAUAAUAAAGGCUCGGCUCGCAUGCAAUUUUCAUUAGUGAGAAAAUUGUUUUUGAAAUUCAAGAGAGCAUCCGAGUUAUACCACAAAUUAAAUACACAUUCCAUUAAAACUAUUUAAUAUUAAAAAAAAAGAAAUUAAAUAAAAAAACUAAUCGACGAGGAGGAGUUCGAACUCCGACCUAGAAGGACCAACAUGUGGCGGCAGUCAACGAUGCUGGCCGCGUUAUUAGUGGCUGCCCUCUUGGGCAGUGUAACGGCAGGAACAACCAACUCUCCACCUCGAAUUAUUAAGCAACCGGCACCCGGAGAUCUUUUAUUUAAAGUAGCACAACCAAAUAAAGAAAGCGACAAUCCAUUUAUAAUCGAAUGCGAGGCUGAUGGACAACCAGAACCAGAGUACAGCUGGAUCAAGAACGGAAAGAAGUUCAACUGGCAGGCGUACGACAACCGGAUGCUCCAGCAGCCAGGACGCGGAUCACUGGUGAUCACCUCGCCCAGGGACGAGGAUCGCGGCCACUAUCAGUGCUUCGCCUCCAACGAGUUCGGCACCGCCACCUCGAACUCGGUGUACGUGCGGAAGGCGGAACUGAAUGCGUUCAAGGACGAGAACUCCAAGACCCUGGAGGCGGUCGAGGGCGAGCCCUACAUGCUGAAGUGUGCGGCGCCCGACGGCUUCCCCAGCCCCACCGUCAACUGGAUGAUCCAGGAGGUUAGCGACGCCUCCAUCAAGUCGAUCAACAACUCCCGCAUGACCCUCGACCCGGAGGGCAAUCUCUGGUUCUCCAACGUGACCCGCGAAGAUGCCAGCGCCGACUUCUACUACGCCUGCUCGGCCACGUCAGUGUUCCGCAGCGAGUACAAGAUCGGCAACAAGGUCCUUCUCGACGUCAAGCAGAUGGGCGUCAGCGCCUCCCAGAACCGGCAUCCGCCAGUGCGCCAGUACGUCUCGCGUCGCCAGUCGCUGGCUCUGCGCGGCAAGCGCAUGGAACUGUUUUGUAUUUACGGCGGCACCCCCCUGCCCCAGACCGUGUGGAGCAAGGACGGCCAGCGGAUACAGUGGAGCGAUCGCAUCACCCAAGGACAUUACGGCAAGUCACUGGUCAUCCGACAGACGAAUUUCGACGACGCCGGCACCUACACCUGUGACGUGUCCAACGGCGUGGGCAACGCCCAGUCCUUCUCCAUCAUCCUGGAGGUGAACUCGGUGCCGUACUUCACCAAGGAGCCGGAGAUCAAGGUCGCCGCCGAGGACGAGGAGGUGACCUUCGAGUGUCGCGCCGCAGGCGUACCGGAGCCCAAGAUCAGCUGGAUCCACAACGGCAAGCCCAUCGAACAGAGCACCCCCAAUCCCAGGCGCACCGUCACCGACAACACGAUCACUAUUAUCAACCUGGUGAAGGGCGAUACCGGCAACUACGGAUGCAACGCCACCAACUCGCUGGGCUAUGUCUACCGGGAUGUGUACCUCAAUGUCCAGGCCCUGCCCCCAGAGAUCAAGGAGAAGCCGACGGACAAGGCCAGCGUGGACGGACGCAACGUGACGAUGACCUGCCGCGUCGAGGGCGCUCCCAAGCCCCUGGUCAAGUGGCUGAGGGGCAGCAACUGGCUGACCGGCGGACGCUACAACGUCCAGGCUAAUGGCGAUCUGGAGAUUCAGGAUGUCACCUUCUCGGAUGCCGGCAAGUACACGUGUUAUGCGGAGAAUAAGUUUGGAAACAAGUCCGCCGAUGGGUCUCUGAUUGUCAAGGAGCACACCCGCAUCACCCAGGAGCCGCAGAACUACGAAGUGGCCGCCGGCCAGUCCGCCACCUUCCGGUGCAAUGAGGCGCACGACGACACCCUGGACAUCCUGAUCGAUUGGCGAAAGGAUGGCCAGCCCAUCGACUUCGAGGCCCAGCCCCGGUUCGUGAAGACGAACGACAACUCACUGACCAUUGCCAAGACCAUGGAGCUGGACUCGGGCGAGUACACGUGCGUGGCGAGGACGCGACUCGACGAGGCGACCGCCAAGGCCAAUCUGAUCGUUCAGGAUGUGCCGAACGCGCCCAAGCUGCUGGGCAUCACCUGCCAGGCGGACAAGGCCGAGAUCUCGUGGGAGCCGCAGGGCGACAACCGAUCCCCCAUCCUCCACUACACCAUCCAGUUCAACACCUCCUUCACGCCCGCCUCCUGGGACGCUGCCUACGAAAAGGUGCCCAACACUGACUUCUCCUUUGUGGUCCAGAUGUCGCCGUGGGCGAACUACACCUUCCGGGUGAUCGCCUUCAACAAGAUCGGACCCUCGCCCCCGUCUGCCCACAGCGAGAGCUGCACCACCCAGCCGGAUGUGCCGUACAAGAACCCCGACAACGUGGUCGGCCAGGGCACUGAGCCCAACAACCUGGUCAUCUCGUGGACGCCCAUGCCGGAGAUCGAGCACAACGCCCCCGGCUUCCAGUACCGUGUCAACUGGAAACGCGACAUUCCGGCCGCUCCCUGGGAGAACCAGAACAUCUACGACUGGCGACAGACCAACAUCGUGAUCACCGACCAGCCCACCUUCGUCAAGUACCUGAUCAAGGUGGUGGCCAUCAACGAGCGGGGCGAGUCCAAUGUGGCUGCCGAAGAGGUGGUGGGCUACUCCGGCGAGGAUCGUCCUCUGGACGCGCCGACCAACUUCACGAUGCGCCAGAUCACCUCCUCCACCAGCGGCUACAUGGCCUGGACGCCCGUCAGCGAGGAGUCGGUGAGGGGCCACUUCAAGGGCUACAAGAUCCAGACCUGGACCGAGAAGGAGGGCGAGGAGGGACUGCGCGAGAUCCACGUCAAGGGCGACACCCACAAUGCUCUCGUCACCCAGUUCAAGCCCGACUCCAAGAACUUUGCCCGCAUCCUGGCCUACAACGGCCGCUUCAACGGCCCACCCAGUGCCGUCAUCGAUUUCGAUACACCCGAAGGUGUGCCGUCGCCUGUCCAGGGUCUGGACGCCUACCCGCUGGGCUCAUCCGCCUUCUGGCUGACCUGGAAGAAGCCUCUCUAUCCCAACGGCAAGCUAACCGGCUACAAGAUCUACUACGAGGAGGUGCAGGGCAGCUAUGUCGGCGAGCGCCGGGAGUACGAUCCCCAUAUCACCGAUCCGAGGGUCACCAGGAUGAAGAUGGCCGGUCUGAAGCCGAACUCCAAGUACCGCAUCUCCAUUACGGCCACCACCAAGAUGGGAGAAGGUUCCGAGCACUACAUCGAGAAGCGCACCCUCCAGGAUGAGGCCGCCGUGACGGCACCUGCCACGCCCUCGUUCUCCUGGGAACAACUGCCCUCCGACAAUGGCCUGGCCAAGUUCCGCAUCAACUGGCAACCCAGCACCGAAGGACAUGCGGGCACCCACUUCUUCACCAUGUAUAGGAUAAAGGGUGAAACGCAAUGGCUCCGCCUGCCCGAGGAGAAGAACAAGGACUACCAGGAGGUAGCCGGUCUGGAUCCGGAGACCGCCUAUGAGUUCCGUGUCGUGUCCGUCGACGGUCACUUCAAUACGGAGAGUGCCACGCAGGAGAUCGACACGAACAGUGUCGAGGGCCCCACCAUGGUGCGCAGCGAGACGGUGGCGAAUGCCGGCUGGUUCAUUGGCAUGAUGCUGGCCCUGGCCUUCAUCAUCUUCAUCUUCAUCAUUGUGUGCAUUAUCCGGCGCAACCGGGGCGGCAAGUACGACGUCCAUGAUCGGGAGCUGGCCAAUGGCCGGCGGGACUAUCCCGACGAGGGCGGCUUCCACGAGUACUCGCAACCUUUGGAUAACAAGAGCGCUGGUCGCCAAUCCGUGAGUUCAGCGAACAAGCCCGGCGUGGAGAGCGACACCGAUUCGAUGGCCGAGUACGGUGAUGGCGAUACUGCAGCUGUGGCCACUGCAGCUGCCCGCGCCGCUGCCGCUGCCCGCAAAGGAGGCAGCAAGUCGAUAUCGCUGCCAGCAACCCAACAGCAGCAAAAACAACUACAGCAACAGCAACAGGAUCAACUGCAACAACAACAACAGCAGUUGCUGUCUCAGCUACCGUCGACGUCUGCGUCGGCAUCUUCCGCAAACACAUCCGUUUCCGUUCCACCAUUGCCUUUAUCCCCACCGCCGUCCUCCCCCUCACCGGCCCCGCCCUCCUACGAUGUGGUCAUGGCGGACGGUGGGAACAACAAAGCCUAAGAGAAUAGAGAAAGGCAGGCUCCUGUCUUCCUAUUCCUCUAACUUUAUUGUGUUGCUGUUGUUGUUGCCCAACCCCACCGCCCCCAUCCUCGAACCACACAGCAGCCAUAUUCUCACAAUCACACGAACACACACAUGCUCUCACAUGCAAGCGAUUCCAAUCAGUCCAGGCAUGAACGAAGACGGAUCCUUUAUUGGCCAAUAUGGACGCAAAGGACUUUGAUUUAAUUAGUAAGCAGCGCGCCGCAACAACAACUACAACUCAAAUAUAGAAACCGAGCCCUUAAAAAAACAAACAUAUACAUACAACAAAAACAAACAAUUCCCCACAGAAUCCAAUACACUAAACAACAAAAAAAACGAACCAUUGACAAAUCAUCACAGGAUUCAACGCAACAACGUUUCUGCUUCGAUUAUGUUUUAAAAUCGACAAUUAAUUUUAAAUAUAUAUAAAUUAUAUAUAAAAUUAAUUUAGAAAAUUCAAAACUGCCAAACAAAUUGAACAACAACAGCAACCAUAUAAAACAACAACAACAAAAUGCAGCAAAAGGCUAUAAACAAAAAGCAAGGAGAAGAUGACGAUGCUAAGAAAGUGAAAGAGGAAGCAAACGAAGCAGAUAAAAAUUUAAAUAUUAAAUGAAAAAACAUCCGAAUAUAUCGAAAUCACAAAAUUAUGGAAAACAGGCCUCUAAAAAAAAAACAAAGAGAAACAGGCCAACGAAAUAUUCAAAUUAAUUUGGAUUUUAUUUCGAACACACACAUUUUUUGGCAGCUAUUUAUUAUCGCUAUGAAAGUACGGAAAUUGAAGCUCGCUUAUAAAAUCUCCAAUAUUUAAUAAUAUAUUUAAAAAAUAUAUGCAUACAUUUGUAUGUAUGUAUACCUGUCCCCAUCUGUCCCGUGCACUGCAUACCACGCUCUGUAUAUCUGUCCCGCUCUCUUUUACUUGUAAUGCAAAUAUAUAGAAAUAUAUAUAUAUAUAGAGCCUAAAUAAGUUAUAAUUUAACAUUAUUUUUUUACAAGAAACAAAACAAAUGAAAUGCAAAAAAAAAAAAAAAAAAAAAAAAAUACAAUUGAAUGUAAAAUCUCCGUUUUAGCUUGGCCGAACGAAAAUCAAACAUUUUUGCUUACAUGUUUACUUUUAUUCUUAUAUAUUCUUUAGAUUACUUUGUAUUUUUUGUUUUAUACUUUUUUUUUUAUUUUGUACUCUCUUAGUUUUUGUAAUGAAUUUUUUAUUUUUUAAUUUUUUUUGUCAACUUGAUUUGGACAGUGAAACAGUGUUGUAAAAUGUAAAAAAUGUUUCCUUUACGUUUGUUUUCCCGGAAAAGAGAAUGCAACAAAAUAAGUUUCUUUUUUUUCCGAGUAGUAUUUAAUAUUAAAGAAUCAAGAUGAGCAGACCCAGCUGCUUAACUAUAUGAGAAAUACAAUUUGUUUAUAUAUUAAAUAAAAUUAGA